UGGUGGAGUGAUUUGUCUGCUUAAUUGCGAUAACGAACGAGACCUUAACCUACUAAAUAGUUACGCGCAGCCCGCUGCGUGGCCAACUUCUUAGAGGGACUUUUGCGUGUUUUAACCAAAGGAAGUUUGAGGCGAUAACA
rnacentral:rRNA from 1 species